ACGGGGAGGCAGGGAAGCGCACCCCACAGCGUGCGUGUGGCUCGCCGUAACCAUUCCAGGCUCUGCGCACACCCUAGCAGCUGUCUCCUUUUCUAUUACUCAUUUGCCAUUCUGAGAACACGAGCUGCAAAGGAAGCAGCAUCAUUUUUGCUAACACAGAAGGUCAGGGGAUGGGAAGAAUUCACUUCUCGGAGCUCCGGCAGGAUAAACGGGCAGAUUUAUGGCACAGACGACGAUCUAACAUGUGUUUCUGAACAGGGACCCUUGAAAUCCUCUCCCCUUGUUCCAAAUUGGCUCUGCUGAACCAAGACUUUGAUCCACGGUCAGACUCCCCGACCUCCUGUCCUGUGCAGGGGAGAAGCAGAAGGAAAGAAAUGGAAAAAUGGGAGCAGAGAGGGGUGAAGGGGUGGGAAAGGGAAAGAAGAGGGCAAGAGGUGACCAGGUGUGCAUGGGGGGUCAGCAUGGUGAUGCACGGAGCUCUCUGGCUAAAAGCUUCCUGGGUACGGCCUGUUGGGAGGCUGCGUUCCUGCAAAUUAACCUCUACUGAUAUAAUUCACCCUGCAAGCACUCUUGUGCCGAAAUUGAGGCGUGCUGACAAUAUUAAGCCGCGCAGUAAAUGCAAGUAAGAGUUAUUAAACUAACAAAUAGAUAAAUUAGCAUAAGGGCUGCCU